rnacentral:rRNA from 1 species
AACGCGAAGAACCUUACCAGGCCUUGACAUCCAAUGAACUUUCCAGAGAUGGAUUGGUGCCUUCGGGAACAUUGAGACAGGUGCUGCAUGGCUGUCGUCAGCUCGUGUCGUGAGAUGUUGGGUUAAGUCCCGUAACGAGCGCAACCCUUGUCCUUAGUUACCAGCACGUAAUGGUGGGCACUCUAAGGAGACUGCCGGUGACAAACCGGAGGAAGGUGGGGAUGACGUCAGGUCAUCAUGGCCCUUACGGCCUGGGCUACACACGUGCUACAAUGGUGGUGACAAUGGGUUAAUCCCCAAAAGCCAUCUCAGUUCGGAUUGUCGUCUGCAACUCGACGGCAUGAAGUCGGAAUCGCUAGUAAUCGCGUAACAGCAUGACGCGGUGAAUACGUUCCCGGGUCUUGUACACACCG